rnacentral:lncRNA from 1 species
AUGGCGAAGGAGCAGGACCAGAAGGCCCACUCCCAGGCCGAGAAAGGACUGCCGAGCGUGCGGGAACAGCGCCAGGUGCGGGAUGUGCUGGGAGGGAGAGGGAUGCCAGGGCAACCUAAACACCGAGGCAGGGGGCACAGCAGCGGGUGGGGUGCCAUGGCGGGCCCUGAGCACCUGUGGCCAGGGCACCGCUCCUCCUGCCCCGGGGCGUUUUCUGGGCACCAGCCGACUCCCAGGACAGCUCUGUGCCCCGAGGCAGAGAGCAGUAGGACCCAGCUCAGCAGGGCUGUCUGUGUCCGGGAACAGCCUCCUCAUGGGGGCUUUGCCAGGGACGCUGGUGGUAAUGCAGCCACCUGCAACCCAGGCCUCCUUCUCCCUACACAGGUGGGCCGCAGGCCGCAGCAAGCUGUGCUGCCAGGCAGACAGAGCCAGGAUUUGGCUGUCCGUGGGAUCCAACUGCCACCACUGCCCCACCCAGCACAAGCCUCUGGGAGCCGCCGUGCACAGGCGGACAGAAUGGAAGGGAGACGGCCUCUGCCAGCCUUGCCACCUCUCCCACGGCGGGCGCAGUCACUGCCAGCUGCGCCCCGGAAUGCAGCCACUGCUCGGGGACGAGUUCACGCAUUCUCACUGCCAGCAAUAGCUUUCGGGAGUAUCCCAAGAGGCAGAGCUGCCCCUGGUCUUCAGUACCAGGACAUGGCAGCAAGGGUUGAGGGCUGGCAGGAAGAUCUGUCUGUCCGUGCAAUCCCCCUCAAGCCUGCAGAGAGGACACCCAAGUCCCUCAGGUUGGCAUACUGGGUGCGUCUGGGAGCCACACGACCAGGACCCUGGCUGAAGCGAACACGGCCUGGGCGAUGUGCACCCACCAGCACUGUAAGAACACCGGCACGAAGAACCCAGGUGCUGGCCCCCAAGGCUGGGAAAGUCACCUGAGAAUGAGACGCAACGUGCUGCCAGUGCUCAGGAGGACAGCGGAGAUGCUCACAGGGUCUCUACAUCACGCUCCCUGGCAGCAGAGCAGGCAGCAGAGAAGGAAGCAGAGCAGGCAGCAGAGCAGGCAGCAGUGCAGGCAGCAGAGAAGGAAGCAGAGCAGGCAGCAGAGCAGGCAGCAGACGAUGGUGCCAAAG